rnacentral:rRNA from 1 species
GGACUACACGGGUAUCUAAUCCUGUUUGCUCCCCUUGCUCUCGCGCCUCAGCGUCUGGUAAAAGCUAGAGAACCGCUUUCGCCACAGGUGUUCUUCCACAUAUCUACGCAUUUCACCGCUACACGUGGAAUUCCGUCCUCUCCGCCUUCCCUCAAGGUAUACAGUUUCACAUGCAGCUCCGGAUUUGAGCUCCGGAAUUUCACAUCUGACUUGUAUUCCCGCCUACGCGCCCUUUACGCCCAAUAAUUCCGAUUAAUGCUCGCACCCUCCGUAUUACCGCGGCUGCUGGCAC